rnacentral:tRNA from 1 species
GCCGAUGUAGCUCAGCGGUAGAGCAGCGCACUCGUAAUGCGCAGGUCAGGGGUUCGAAUCCCCUCAUCGGCUCCA